rnacentral:rRNA from 1 species
ACACUCCUGCGGGAGGCAGCAGUGGGGAAUCUUGCGCAAUGGGCGAAAGCCUGACGCAGCCAUGCCGCGUGAAUGAUGAAGGUCUUAGGAUUGUAAAAUUCUUUCACCGGGGACGAUAAUGACGGUACCCGGAGAAGAAGCCCCGGCUAACUUCGUGCCAGCAGCCGCGGUAAUACGAAGGGGGCUAGCGUUGCUCGGAAUUACUGGGCGUAAAGGGAGCGUAGGCGGACAUUUAAGUCAGGGGUGAAAUCCCGGGGCUCAACCUCGGAAUUGCCUUUGAUACUGGGUGUCUUGAGUAUGAGAGAGGUGUGUGGAACUCCGAGUGUAGAGGUGAAAUUCGUAGAUAUUCGGAAGAACACCAGUGGCGAAGGCGACACACUGGCUCAUUACUCACGCUGAGGCUCGAAAGCGUGGGGAGCAAACAGGAUUAGAAACCCCGGUAGUCCCA